rnacentral:rRNA from 1 species
UACGAAGGGAGCUAGCGUUGUUCGGAAUCACUGGGCGUAAAGCGCACGUAGGCGGAUGUGUCAGUCAGGGGUGAAAUCCCGGAGCUCAACUUCGGAACUGCCUUUGAUACAGCACGUCUUGAGUCCGGAAGAGGUGGGUGGAAUUCCUAGUGUAGAGGUGAAAUUCGUAGAUAUUAGGAAGAACACCGGUGGCGAAGGCGGCCCACUGGUCCGGUACUGACGCUGAGGUGCGAAAGCGUGGGGAGCAAACAGGAUUGAGA